rnacentral:rRNA from 1 species
UACGGAGGUUCCUAGCGUUGUUCGGAUUUACUGGGCGUAAAGGGAGCGCAGGCGGAUGGGUCAGUGAAAAGUGGAAUUCCGGAGCUUAACUUCGGACGUGCUUUUCAUACUGCCCGUCUUGAGUUCGCGAGAGGAAGGCGGAAUUCAGGGUGUAGCGGUGAAAUGCUUAGAUAUCCUGAGGAACACCGGUGGCGAAAGCGGUCUUCUGGCGCGAUACUGACGCUGAGGCUCGAAAGCGUGGGGAGCGAACGGGAUUAGAUACCCCGGUAGUCCACGCUGUAAACGUUGUGCACUAGGUGUGUGAGGUAUCGACCCCUUACGUGCCGCAGCAAACGCAUUAAGUGCACCGCCUGGGGAGUACGGUCGCAAGACUGAA